GCGGCGUGCUUAACACAUGCAAGUCGAACGGAAAGGCCCUGCUUUUGUGGGGUGCUCGAGUGGCGAACGGGUGAGUAACACGUGAGCAACCUGCCCUUGACUUUGGGAUAACUUCAGGAAACUGGGGCUAAUACCGGAUAGGAGCUCCUGCUGCAUGGUGGGGGUUGGAAAGUUUCGGCGGUUGGGGAUGGACUCGCGGCUUAUCAGCUUGUUGGUGGGGUAGUGGCUUACCAAGGCUUUGACGGGUAGCCGGCCUGAGAGGGUGACCGGCCACAUUGGGACUGAAAUACGGCCCAGACUCCUACGGGAGGCAGCAGUGGGGAAUAUUGCACAAUGGGCGGAAGCCUGAUGCAGCAACGCCGCGUGCGGGAUGACGGCCUUCGGGUUGUAAACCGCUUUCGCCUGUGACGAAGCGUGAGUGACGGUAAUGGGUAAAGAAGCACCGGCUAACUACGUGCCAGCAGCCGCGGUGAUACGUAGGGUGCGAGCGUUGUCCGGAUUUAUUGGGCGUAAAGGGCUCGUAGGUGGUUGAUCGCGUCGGAAGUGUAAUCUUGGGGCUUAACCCUGAGCGUGCUUUCGAUACGGGUUGACUUGAGGAAGGUAGGGGAGAAUGGAAUUCCUGGUGGAGCGGUGGAAUGCGCAGAUAUCAGGAGGAACACCAGUGGCGAAGGCGGUUCUCUGGGCCUUUCCUGACGCUGAGGAGCGAAAGCGUGGGGAGCGAACAGGCUUAGAUACCCUGGUAGUCCACGCUGUAAACGGUGGGUACUAGGUGUGGGGUCCAUUCCACGGGUUCCGUGCCGUAGCUAACGCUUUAAGUACCCCGCGUGGGGAGUACGGCCGCAAGGCUAAAACUCAAAGGAAUUGACGGGGCCCCGCACAAGCGGCGGAGCAUGCGGAUUAAUUCGAUGCAACGCGUAGAACCUUACCUGGGUUUGACAUGGAUCGGGAGUGCUCAGAGAUGGGUGUGCCUCUUUUGGGGUCGGUUCACAGGUGGUGCAUGGCUGUCGUCAGCUCGUGUCGUGAGAUGUUGGGUUAAGUCCCGCAACGAGCGCAACCCUUGUUCACUGUUGCCAGCACGUUAUGGUGGGGACUCAGUGGAGACCGCCGGGGUCAACUCGGAGGAAGGUGGGGAUGACGUCAAGUCAUCAUGCCCCUUAUGUCCAGGGCUUCACGCAUGCUACAAUGGCUGGUACAGAGAGUGGCGAGCCUGUGAGGGUGAGCGAAUCUCGGAAAGCCGGUCUCAGUUCGGAUUGGGGUCUGCAACUCGACCUCAUGAAGUCGGAGUCGCUAGUAAUCGCAGAUCAGCAACGCUGCGGUGAAUACGUUCCCGGGGCUUGUACACACCGCCCGUCAAGUCAUGAAAGUUGGUAACACCCGAAGCCGGUGGCCUAACCGUUGUGGGGGAGCCGUCGAAGGUGGGACUGGUGAUU
rnacentral:rRNA from 1 species